rnacentral:rRNA from 1 species
UACAGAGGGGGCAAGCGUUGUUCGGAAUUACUGGGCGUAAAGGGCGCGUAGGCGGCCUUCUAAGUCGAACGUGAAAUCCCCGGGCUCAACCCGGGAACUGCGUCCGAUACUGGAAGGCUUGAAUCCGGGAGAGGGAUGCGGAAUUCCAGGUGUAGCGGUGAAAUGCGUAGAUAUCUGGAGGAACACCGGUGGCGAAGGCGGCGAUCCUGGACCGGUAUUGACGCUGAGGCGCGAAGGCCAGGGGAGCAAACGGG